rnacentral:rRNA from 1 species
GGCUUCGGCNNUCACUUUGGACGGCGUAUUAGCUAGAUGGUGGGUAACGGCUCACCAUGGCAAUGAUACGUAGCCGACCUGAGAGGGUAAUCGGCCACAUUGGGACUGAGACACGGCCCAAACUCCUACGGGAGGCAGCAGUAGGGAAUCUUCCACAAUGGACGAAAGUCUGAUGGAGCAACGCCGCGUGAGUGAAGAAGGGUUUCGGCUCGUAAAACUCUGUUGUUAAAGAAGAACAUAUCUGAGAGUAACUGUUCAGGUAUUGACGGUAUUUAACCAGAAAGCCACGGCUAACUACGUGCCAGCAGCCGCGGUAAUACGUAGGUGGCAAGCGUUGUCCGGAUUUAUUGGGCGUAAAGCGAGCGCAGGCGGUUUUUUAAGUCUGAUGUGAAAGCCUUCGGCUCAACCGAAGAAGUGCAUCGGAAACUGGGAAACUUGAGUGCAGAAGAGGACAGUGGAACUCCAUGUGUAGCGGUGAAAUGCGUAGAUAUAUGGAAGAACACCAGUGGCGAAGGCGGCUGUCUGGUCUGUAACUGACGCUGAGGCUCGAAAGUAUGGGUAGCAAACAGGAUUAGAUACCCUGGUAGUCCAUACCGUAAACGAUGAAUGCUAAGUGUUGGAGGGUUUCCGCCCUUCAGUGCUGCAGCUAACGCAUUAAGCAUUCCGCCUGGGGAGUACGGCCGCAAGGCUGAAACUCAAAGGAAUUGACGGGGGCCCGCACAAGCGGUGGAGCAUGUGGUUUAAUUCGAAGCUACGCGAAGAACCUUACCAGGUCUUGACAUACUAUGCAAAUCUAAGAGAUUAGACGUUCCCUUCGGGGACAUGGAUACAGGUGGUGCAUGGUUGUCGUCAGCUCGUGUCGUGAGAUGUUGGGUUAAGUCCCGCAACGAGCGCAACCCUUAUUAUCAGUUGCCAGCAUUAAGUUGGGCACUCUGGUGAGACUGCCGGUGACAAACCGGAGGAAGGUGGGGAUGACGUCAAAUCAUCAUGCCCCUUAUGACCUGGGCUACACACGUGCUACAAUGGAUGGUACAACGAGUUGCGAACUCGCGAGAGUAAGCUAAUCUCUUAAAGCCAUUCUCAGUUCGGAUUGUAGGCUGCAACUCGCCUACAUGAAGUCGGAAUCGCUAGUAAUCGCGGAUCAGCAUGCCGCGGUGAAUACGUUCCCGGGCCUUGUACACACCGCCCGUCACACCAUGAGAGUUUGUAACACCCAAAGUCGGUGGGGUAACCUUU